AACGAUAAUAAAUAAAAAAACAUAAUAUAUUUUUGCGUUUGUCAUCAAGUCAUCAUUUUGAUCAGUAUAUUUCUGUCAAAAGUCAUUACAUAAUAUCUGUACUUAUCUAUUCGGAAUGCUCUGUAUUUUCUUACUAUAAUAAGUAAGUCAAAAACAUAAUUAUUUAAAAUUAAGAAUUUGGAAUCUAUGCUAACUCUUUUAACAUGUUUCUAGAUGAGCUAGUAAACAUCUCAAAUGGUGAAAUAUAUGCCAAGGAAUUUUUUAAAUUACCUACUAAAACACAUACACUGCUACUGCGAAGGUCUAACAAAAAAAAAUAAAGGACAUUCUAGAACAGCCAACACAGAUACCAGAACGCGCGCGAAAUUCAUGGAAUUGGCAUUUGGGCAUGAAGAAUGUAAAGAUACAUUAAAGUGAUGCAUGAUACUUUGUGUUGCAUGUACUUUUAACACAAAACAUUGCUUUUAAUAUUUUACUAUUAUUAUAUGUAAUAUUUUACAAUUAUUA